UUUUUUUUUUUCCUUAUUCACAGUGUGGUGUGGAAAACCAAGUUGAUAUUGGAAUCAUUUACCAAGCUUUACACUGCAAAAGAAUAGUCACAUUGCGAUUAGAUAUUCUAGCUCAUUCAGAAGAUUAGCCCAUCUACAUGAACGCUAUUGAACACUAGUUUCAAGACAAUCAAUUAUUUAUCAACAACCUUCUAAAGCCUCAUAUUUCCAACGUCGUUCAUCAUGGUUUUGCACAUACUCCACUAUAUUUGAUAAAGGGCCUCAUAUGAUUAAUGGUCAACACAUUAUAAAAAGGUUCAGAAUACUCAAAAUUUCAAGGAAACUUGCUUCAGUAAUAUUUUUUAGUUUUACGUUUAACAUUUUUAAAUUUCAAAAUGAAUUAGUUCAGAAAAUUUGCAUUUCAUUGUUGGAAAAACUAAAAACUCAGUAUGAACCUGUUAGUCUGCUGUUAACGUAUGGAACUGUUGUGUGGAUCCUGGGUCUCCGCAGAAGAACUUCACCACAUCCUUGAAACUUUGGACAGGGCAGGUUUAUUUCCCCUCACGGACAUACGGCCUGAUUUAUUGACACCUUUAGCAAAACCAACAACGCAACCAGUGAUUGGUCAUGGCAUUUGUUUUGCACCAAUGGUUGUGUUAUUAAUUUUGCGAGUGCUAAAAUGUUUUGCACUUGCUGAAGGUUUCAGUAAGUCAGGCCCAUACUGGCUAGCUGAGAGCUGGAUUGAUGGAGUGAGUUGAACACUCGGCAGAGGGGUGUGAUAUUGCUGAUCAGGCACGGGGGGUGGUGGGGGGGGGCGUUCAAUUAAACACAAACUUUGGAAAAGAAAUACACUCAUCUGCGUAUUUGCUGAAGGGACCUUUCUUGUCAGUAGGCACAAAAAAAACAACUGCAGUGCUCAUCUUGUUUCCUUAUGUAAUUAUUCUUGCACUUAAAAUUAAAAAGACAAAGCAAUAAUGAACUGUGUCCUUUUCUUAUAGCACACACUCCAAACGCAUCAUGCAUACACAUGCUUUCGGCAUAUUAUGCACACACACACACACACACACACACACACACACACACACACACACACACAAACUAAAUAGCACACACACAUGCACAUGCACUCACUGAACACACUCUAAACUGUAGGCAAAUAAUGUAUGAUGUAGUUAGUAAGUUGAAAAAGUCAUUCUAAUUUUGAGCUGAAAGGUUAGUGUGUGCUAAAUGGCAUUCUCUGGCAGCACAUGUGACCAAUCCGGUCUCUCGACAUGUAAAGAGCUCUGGUCACAGUGAACGUGAGUCACCCUGAAAACAAUGAUGUGUUCAUUCAUGCAGUCAAUUGUUGU